AUAAUAAUAAUCCACUAGUGGGAAAGUGACAAGCGGGGGUUUCCUGGAGUCUCUCUCUCUUUUCCUCUCCCUCUGCUCGCAGUGCAGUGAGUGACUGGCUGCUCCUGGGAUGACGCACAGCUGCAGGCAAUCUCUAAUCAACCACCUGUUUCCCGUGGCUCAUCAGCGCAGCGUCUAAAGCUGUGGCUGCCCUAUCUGUUCGGCGUCGGAUAGUUAGUCUUGUCACAUAGGAAUACCACUCUGUUCUGUUGUCGCUAAACCUGCCUGUUGACGCCACCCUCCGCCUGCAAUCACCAGCCCUGCAUGACUCGUCAUCCCUGCCUGUGUUCACUACCUGCUCUGUCACCUGAGAGGAUUCCCCCCACCAGUCCAUUCUGCUAAAUUCUCUGAUUCAGAAAUAAACUAUUAAAAUGUU